rnacentral:rRNA from 1 species
UACGUAGGGACCAAGCGUUGUUCGGAUUUACUGGGCGUAAAGGGCGCGUAGGCGGCGUGGUAAGUCACUUGUGAAAUCUCCGAGCUUAACUCGGAACGGUCAAGUGAUACUGCUGUGCUAGAGUGCAGAAGGGGCAAUCGGAAUUCCAGGUGUAGCGGUGAAAUGCGUAGAUAUCUGGAGGAAUACCGGUGGCGAAGGCGGCAUCCUGGACCGACAUUGACGCUGAUGAGCGAAAGCUAGGGGAGCAAACGGG